rnacentral:snRNA from 1 species
GUGUUCUCUUCGGCCGCACGUGUACUAAAAUGGAAACAAUACAGAGAAGGUUCGUAUGGUCGCUGUGCAAGGAUGACACAAAAUAAAAAAGCAAUAAAGUAGU